CGAGUAUCUCUCCCAAAUUUUUCGUGGAUAUAGUAUGGUGUGUGUUGUAAAUGACCCGAGAUGUGCAAAUGUUGCCAAGAACGUAAGAACCAUGCACGGGGGCACGAAAACAUCGCUAAAUGGGCAAAUUUAGACAAAAUGAUAUAGUUUCUACUAGCCAAAGUAUCGCUGAAAGCAGUUUUAAAAUGGAACAUACAAAACGUGAGAUAUGGAUAAAAUAAUUGUAGCAUUUAAGUACGACGGCUCUUCCGAAGCAAACUCGAGAUGUGCAAACUCGUUAUAGAGGAUACCAAUAGCUAUAUUUUUAAUUUUUUGUUUACACUCCUAUAAUUUCUAUUACCGCGUGGCGGCCAUGUUUGAUUGUAUAGUCCAAGCAUGCUCAGUAGCAAUGUCCGCAAUUUCUGGCCAUAGUAAGUAUAUGUGAUAGCAGUGUAUAUCCAAAUAUAAGGUAAUCCAAAUUUGACAUGUUAUUGCACAUUGGGUAUGUAUUAAGAUUAUACGAAAUCUCACUUUCUUUAUUCAAGCUAUGAAUAUCGGUCUUUUGGCUGUGAUGUGAAAACUUUUUGUUUCGUUGCGUUAAAAAAUUGGCAAAUGCGAUCCGAUUUAAAGUGAUCAGACGAAAUCUCAUUUUUCCGCCAUUGUGAAUUUGAACAAUUUUGAAGAAAUGCUGUUCGCCUAUUUAUUUCUGCAAACUUUUGAGUGGUAACUGAAUAACGGCGUAACAAAGAUCUAACAAAAUUUUUCAACUAAAACAUUGCUAGGUUGUAAAUUUGGCAGAAGUGCAUGAAGUAUGGUUUGCAGCAACGAAAGUGUGGUCACAUAUGUUGGGUUACAUUUGUUGGGAAUUUUAAAUUUGUGUCUGUCUCCAAUAUUUGGCAACCCAACCUAAAGAGCGGCCUAAAUUAACCAGUGAUUAAUCAGUGAUUAUAAAAUACAAAUUGAAUUAAUAUUUUAAAAUGUUUCUUGUUUUGUGAUACGAGUGUUUGCUGGCUGCCUAUGUUAAAACCUGUUUGGUAAAAACAAAAAAACAACAUUGCAACAUUUCGUAUAACAAAGGUAUUGUCACAGAUUAUUUUCUCAAAAAUGUAUUUGUUAUAUCUCAAAGGCGAUAUUUGAAAACGCUCUAUCUUGGCAUAAGCUAAUAAUAUGCAUACGAGAAGAACGUUUUCAUCAAAAAAUAAAAUAAAAUAAAAUGUAUUUUUUCCAAGGUAGAUAAUUUAUUGUUGGAACUUAAUUAAAAGAUUGAAACAGAAUACAUUUGAACGUGUAACAGAAUAAGUAUGUUAUGUAUGUGACACAGAGCAGUAUAUUGAGUUCUGUAUUUGUAAAAAAUCUAAUUGAACAACCAACAUUCUGCAACGUGGUUGUACAUCGAUGAUUGCAAGAAUCAUGAAGCAAGCGAUAUGGCAAAAACACCUAAUCACUAUCUGGAACACAAUUUUGAAAUAGAGACAGGAUGCAUUUGGAAUUGCAAUCACGAAAGCAUAUUUUUCUACCUUGUGAUACUUCUCGGAAAAUGUCGUUGUGGAAAAUGACGUUGAAAUUCAACCACCAUUUUGCGAGGUAGUGGAGCACUGAUGAAGGCAACCAUUAUAAUACUAUGAAUAACUGCCAACCUUUUGCUCCUGCCUUAACCUGGACGGCGGAACAGUACGUAUUCUUCACUUGUACGUACUCCGAGCGAACAAAGAAAUGAGGAACAUGGAUUAAUGGCUAAUGUAAACACUUUCAGCUGAUUAUUUCCAACUGAGUAUAUUUGUGUGAUGCCAUUCUCGUUCACUAGGAAUUGCAAAAGCGUUAAUUCCAAUUAUAUUACACAGACGUAUAUAUAGCAUUGCAAAGGCAAAAUUCUGUACGCUCCAGUCGAGGAUUAAUCCAGUAUUGAAAAGACUAAAUGUGAGUUAACUGCUGUAUUCGUUGGAGAAAUAAAGACACCACAAGGAUCAGUGUUGGUUCCUGAUUUACAAGUUCAACCAACCAAAUGCAAAUAUUUACUUUAUGGAAAGAGUUAAAGGUUUAUAGCGGUGUAACAGUUGUGAUUAAUGGCGCUAUCUAGAUACUUUGUGCUGGUUUAAAAUACUGAAAAUGCAACUUUUGUUCCCACAGUGUCAAACGUUACCAUAUCAGGGUGCUUCGAAAGUUUGGAAAAACAACCUUGUAACAAAACCGUUUAUAGGAAUCCGUAGACGUAGUUAACUCUUCUUAAGCUUAUGGAAGCUUUUGAAAAUAUAUUGGAUGAUCGGCUGAGAUGAAAACAAUCAUUCAUAUGUAUGACUAUGUGCAAACGAGUGUGGUUCAAUUGCGGUGUUGUUUGUACACCU